rnacentral:rRNA from 1 species
CCUACGGGCGGCAGCAGUGGGGAAUAUUGGACAAUGGGCGAAAGCCUGAUCCAGCCAUGCCGCGUGUGUGAAGAAGGCCUUCGGGUUGUAAAGCACUUUCAGUGGGGAAGAAAGCCUUGGGGCUAAUACCCUCGAGGAAGGACAUCACCCACAGAAGAAGCACCGGCUAACUCCGUGCCAGCAGCCGCGGUAAUACGGAGGGUGCGAGCGUUAAUCGGAAUCACUGGGCGUAAAGCGCGCGUAGGCGGUCUGAUAAGCCGGUUGUGAAAGCCCCGGGCUCAACCUGGGAACGGCAUCCGGAACUGUCAGGCUAGAGUGCAGGAGAGGAAGGUAGAAUUCCCGGUGUAGCGGUGAAAUGCGUAGAGAUCGGGAGGAAUACCAGUGGCGAAGGCGGCCUUCUGGACUGACACUGACGCUGAGGUGCGAAAGCGUGGGUAGCAAACAGGAUUAGAUACCCGGGUAGUC